GUUGAUCUGCUCAUUGUUUCUUUUCUUUUUACAUAGAAUUUUAUAAUUAUAUUACUUUUAUUUUGCAGAAGAUAAAUAAUGAUGAUAUCGAAGAAGAAAUGAAAGAUCAUGAAGAAGAAGAAGAAGAGAGCUAGAUGUUUUUGUUUUUUUAAUAGGAUAUACAUUUUGAUGAUGUUAGUUUGAUGGUGAAUGCACAUAAUUGUGAUAUACAAUUCAUGUUAGUUUGAUAUAUGGUGAAUGCACAUUUGGAUAUACAUUUAAGAUGUUAGUUUCAUUUUGAAGAUGUUAGUUUGAUUGUGAAUGAUUGACAAUAUUAGGACAACGUUAUGUUGAUCGAUGUUAUUAUUUUGAUAUAUAUGAAUGAUAAUCAUUUUAGUUUAAUUUGUAUGUCUUUUAUUAUUGGAUUAUAUUGAAAUUAUUGUUCUUUAGGUCUACUAAUAUAAUAAUAAUAAU
rnacentral:lncRNA from 1 species